rnacentral:piRNA from 1 species
UCCAUUUGGUCCUCCUAGGGUCCGUUGUC